rfam:Glossina fuscipes fuscipes unplaced genomic scaffold Scaffold911, whole genome shotgun sequence.
GCUGGCUUAGCUCAACUGGUAGAGCAACUGACUUGUAAUCAGUAGGUUGGGAGUUCAAUUCUUCUAGCCAGCA